rnacentral:tRNA from 1 species
AGGAUAACAGUUACAGUAACAUUUAAAUUGCAAUUAAAAAAUAUUGAAAAAAUCAAUUUAUCUUA